GUGAGGAAUAUUGGUCAAUGGGCGAGAGCCUGAACCAGCCAAGUCGCGUGAAGGAAGAAGGAUCUAUGGUUCGUAAACUUCUUUUGCAGGGGAAUAAAGUGCGGGACGUGUCCUGUUUUGUAUGUACCCUGAGAAUAAGGAUCGGCUAACUCCGUGCCAGCAGCCGCGGUAAUACGGAGGAUCCGAGCGUUAUCCGGAUUUAUUGGGUUUAAAGGGUGCGUAGGUGGUUUGAUAAGUCAGCGGUGAAAGUUUGCAGCUUAACUGUAAAAAUGCCAUUGAAACUGUCGGACUUGAGUGUAAAUGAGGUAGGCGGAAUGCGUGGUGUAGCGGUGAAAUGCAUAGAUAUCACGCAGAACUCCGAUUGCGAAGGCAGCUUACUAAGCUACAACUGACACUGAAGCACGAAAGCGUGGGGAUCAAACAGGAUUAGAUACCCUAGUAGUCC
rnacentral:rRNA from 1 species